CUCCCCGGUCUGCUCUCCUGCUGCUGGGAGGUUUGCGGCUACGAGCUUUUGGAGGAAAGCGGUGCAGCUGUGGUGUGGCCCAGGAGGAGUUGGUGUUGGCGAGAGAUAUCCACAGUCCUCCAGACAAAGGAAGGGCCUCCUGCGGGCACUCCGGAUCCACCCAGCUCCUCCUCUGCACACCGAUGGCUAUGCGCGGCUGGGCACAGGCCGAGGUGCCUCAGGAACCUGGGAUCCCUCCUCCUCCAGACAAAGGAAGGGGCUUCUGCAGGCGCUCCGGAUCCGCGCAGCUCCUCCUCUGCACACCGACGGCUAGGCGCGGCUGGGCACAGGCCGAGGUGCCCCAGGAACCCGGGAUCCCUCCUCCUCCAGACAAAGGAAGGGGCUUCCGCAGGCACUCCAGAUCCGCGCAGCUCCUCCUCUGCACACCGAUGGCUAGGCGCGGCCGGGCACAGGCCGAGGUACCUCAGGAACCUGGGAUCCCUCCUCCUCCAGACAAAGGAAGGGGCCUCUGCAGGCGCUCCGGACCCGCGCAGCUCCUCCUCUGCACACCGAUGGCUAGGCGCGGCUGGGCACAGGCCGAGGUGCCUUAGGAACCCGGGAUCCCUCCUCCUCCAGACAAAGGAAGGGGCCUCUGCAGGCGCUCGGGUUCCGUGCAGCUCCUCCUCUGCACACCGAUGGCUAGGCGCGGCUGGGCACAGGCCGAGGUGCCUCAGGAACCCGUGAUCCCUCCUCCUCCAGACAAAAGAAGGGGCUUCUGCAGACGCUCCGGAUCCGCGCAGCUCCUCCUCCGCACACCGAUGGCCAGGCGCGGCUGGGCACAGGCCGAGGUGCCUCAGUAACUCGGGAUCCCUCCUCCUCCCGACAAAGGAAGGGGCCUCUGCAGGCGCUCCGGAUCCGCGCAGCUCCUCCUCCGCACCCCGAUGGCCAGGCGCGGCUGGGCACAGGCCGAGGUGCCUCAGGAACCCGGGAUCCCUCCUCCUCCAGACAAAGGAAGGGGCCUCUGCAGGCGCUCCGGAUCUGCGCAGCUCCUCCUCCGCACACCGAUGGCCAGGCGUGGCUGGGCACAGGCCGAGGUGCCCCAGGAACCCCAGGAACGAUUCUUAACUCCAGUAAAAGUCACCAUACCUCUUUUGGUUUGUGACCUCAUUCCUCAACAUUUGUAGAACUGAGCUCUGUGCAUGUGGUGAUAGAAGUAUAUUCUUCUAAAUAAGACUAAUGUUUGUUUCAGAAGGGUCUGAGGUUCAGGAAAGAUGGACUAACGCUGAGUUUUGAUUUAUACCAAGAGAUUUCCAAUGUAAGAAUGUGAAAAAAUGAAUUGUAGUAAUCUAAGGAAAGGUAAUUCUUAAAAAAGAAUGAGUACACACUUAAAAUACUGUUCUAAAAAAAUAAAAUAUUCUUAGCAGGAUAUGGUGGUAUGCACCUGUAGUCCCAGCAUUUGGGAGGCUGAAUGUCUUGGUCAGGUUACUUUUCUCUUGUUGCUGAGACGAAAUACUUGACACCCAAAAUGAAGGAGGGGAAGGUUUAUUUAGCUUACAGUCUUUGGAGGUUUCUGUCCACACUCAGCUGGUUCUAAGGCAGAGUGACUUGGCUAAAGGGCACCCCGUUCAUGGUGACCACAAGUAACAAGAGCAGAAAGGGAAAAGGGCCUCCUUCCUUCCCUUGUGUGGUUUGCCAGUUAUGCGCCCCUGGCAGGUACAACACUCACACUGCCAAUACCAGUGCUUUACAGAUGCUAAAUUUGUCUGCCUCUAUGCUGCAUGAGACUUUGAGUCUUAGGUUCAGCGUUGCUGAAAAGUCCAAGUCCCAAGUCUCCCCUGAGCUCAAAGGCAAAGUCUUAGCUGUACUUCUUGUACAAAUCAAAACAAAGUUAAACACUUCCAAUGUUCAAUCACACAAGACCAGCAUUACCAUUCCAAAGAGUACAAACAUGAUACAAAGAAAUGGGAUCAAAUCCAGCAGGGCAAACUAAGUCCUGGAGUUCCACAUUCAGCAUCUGAAGCAAUGGGGCUGUAAGCUCCAAAAGGCUUGAGUGACUCCACCCGAUGGCACUUCUGGUGGUUGUAGCUCCGAUGACUUCUCUCUGGCUGGCUUUGCUCCCUCCUUGCAGGUUUCCUCAGACAAUCUACACGCCUGGCUUUUCCAAACUUCUCCAUUGCACCUUUGGCUUCACACACUGUCCUCGCAGUACAAUGGCUGGCCUCCCAGGCCUCCUGAAAUUGGGGUGGAAGCCUUUUUAACCUCAGAACUCUUGCAGUCUGCUUGUACCUAAAUCCAGCACCACAUGGAUGAUGCUAAUAAGAUCUGCUGCCAGUUGGAGCAAUGACUAGGCUUUGCCCUGUAAUGAUCAAGUACCUGGAUUGCUGGGUACUCUGAAUCCAGUUCUGAAGAACAAAUUUUCUGUCACUGCCACUCUGGAACCUGGUGUGGCUGCUGCUGAGUGUGGAACAUGGCACUCUGGCUUUCUCCUCAAAGCAAAGUUACUUCUGUAGUUUUGAGGCUACAAAGCAUGGGGACCCGCUACUGCUUGUGAUGCCCAAAGACAUCUUUUCUAUUCGCCUGUUCCUUCUCAGCAAUACAGAUCUCAGUUCUAUCUUUGCGGUCUGCGGCGUUAUAGAAACUUUUCUCCUGGCCAAACUGACAGCAUUUCAAAUGACCCUGCUGGGCUCUUUGCUUUUGAUUUGCAACAUAAAUCUGACUAAAAGCCCCCAACACCGGCCAUGCCACAGCCUCAAAUUUGACUACUUUGAAAUUUUUUCUGCCAGAAUAAUUAGUCCACCAUCCAGAGUCUCAGGCAAAGUCUCUGGACAUGAGCAAACUGCAGACAUUUCUGCCAAGUCAUAACACAUGUUGUCUGGAGUCCAACAACCAGUGCAGUACUUCCUAGCAGAAACUUCUCAAGCCUGAAGCCAACUGUACUGGUUUUCUGGUCUUCUGAGCCUGACCAGACUCUCCCAUACAGAACAACCUAAGCUGUUCCAGCUCUGUGCUUUCUGGUGACAUCUCUGAACCUUUCCAAAUUUCGCACAGACCAUUCCCAAAGGCUUUUGGACCACGUGGUCAGGAAUAGCCACAUUAGUGGCUCCACUCGUGGUACCAAAUUCUGGUUACUUUUCUCUCGUUGCUGAGGUAAAAUACUUGACACCCAAAAUGAAGGAAGGAGAGGGUUGUUUAACUUACAGUUUUGGGAGGUUUCAGUCCAUACUCAGCUGUUUCCAAGGCAGGGUGUCGUGGCUAAAGGGCAAAAGGAAAAAGGCCUCCCUCCCUCCCUUAUAUUGUGUGCCAGCUACCUGCCCUGGGUGGGUGCAGCACUCACACUGCCAAUCCCAGCGCUAGGCAACAAACCUAUCACAAAUGCUAGGUUCAUCCACCUCCCUGACUAUGAGGCUUGGUGAGCCGCACCCAAGAAAAACAGCACUGAGGCAGGAGGCUUGCCACGAGUUUGAGGUCAGCCUGGGCUACAUAGUGGGACCCUGUCUCAAAAACAAACAAAAAAUUGGGGUGGGGGGCGAGGAAUAAAGAGGAAAACCUGGAGGAAAAAAAGUACUGCUGGAAUCUAAAGGUAUCCACAGAACAUUCUGCUGAGAACCUGUCAAUCAGUUUGGAGAGAACUGUCAGCUAUGCACAAUUGUGCCUUCUGACCUAUGACCGCAGUUACCUCACUGUUUAUUUGGCUGUCCUUGAUUUCCCCCACCUCUUUUUUAACAGUUUCAGUCUACAGAUACUACACAUAUUUUAUCAGUGGUUCUUAAAAAAAUUUUUUUGAUUGCUCAUUGUCAGUAAAUUCAAAUGCAGUUGAAUUUUAUUCGCUGGCCUUUAUUUUAUUUAUUUUAUUUGUAGCUUGAUAAACUCACACAUUCCAAUAGCUUUUUUAGUAGGUUCUGUGAGGAUUCCUCUGCAGGGAAUUAUAUUUUCUCUUUUCCAGUCUGAGUGGCUGGUGUUUCUUUCUCCUUGGCUCUGUGAGCUGUACCCCAAUUCAGUGUUGAACAGGACCGGGGUGCUUAAGAGGAAACAUUCUUAGCUCCUUGGCCCUGGGAGGAGGCUUGAGACACUUUUUUCUUUUUUUAUAGAUUUAUCUGGUUUAGAAAGUUCCUUUCUGGUUUGCUGAUAAGCUUUAGAAUGAGUAAAUAUUUUGUCAAGUGCUCUUUAUGCGUAUCAAUUGAUGUAAACAUGGUUUUUCUUUACAAGUGGUAUUGAUUAACUUUCAAGGGUUGAACUGCUUUGAUUUUGAAAGAUAAGCCCUGCCUAGUCGUGUGUAUCCCUUUCAUAACUUCAUCGGGUAGGUCAUGGGGAAUUCUCUGUCUGUAGUGCAGCAGAAGCAUAAAGCAGAACUGCUUUUCCUUUUCAGGAAGGCAGGCCGUGUCACCUCUGAGGAUAGUGUGAUGUAACUCUUGCUGGAAACUCAGGAUCAUUGUCCCUGGUAUCCUGAGGGGCUAUGCUCGUUGUGGAGGACUGUGACAAGAUAGGCAAACUGCUGCAUGAGGAGUCUCGCACUCCUGUCUCUCUCUUGCACAGCAGGUAUCUUUGCUGGGAUGCUGUGGCAGCAUUUGGCAGGCAGGCAGGUGGAACACCGCAUGGUUGGCUUCCUGGUUUCCUAACUGCGCCAGCCUCUGCUGCUUCUACACCUCCCUCAUCCCCCCUCCCCCCCCCCCCGCAAGACACGAGCCUUGUAAAACCCCUGGGUGACUCCCCGUCCUAACUCCCAUGACACAGGUAGCCCAGGAAGCUAGACACAUGGGGAGUUAAUUGCUUGUCCUGUUUUGCAUCAACAGGAACAAGAGCCCGCUUUGAAAGUUUGCAGUGCUCUGUUUAGAGAGUUUUAAAAGGCUGUCAGAGAACACGGAUUUAAAAGUACUUUUGUAAUUGGUGUUACUGAGGGUGUCGGUCACAGCUAUGAGGUGACCCCUUUUGACUGGAAAGCCUUACUGCGUACUCUUGUUACUCCAGCCCAGUAUCAGGUGUGGCUCCAAGAACACAAUGACGCUGCAGACACAAGCUAUAGAUGAUUUAGAUCACAAUACUCCUGUAGGAGCUACUGAAUUACAGGGGAGGGAGCUUUUCCAGAUAUUCGCCAACAAGUUCACUGCCAUCUCUAAGCUUAUCCUCAAAUGGCUCAAACUGCUUUAAAAGCUCGCAAAAGAAUCCCUGAAGCAGCGGAUGCACAAGGUUCCUUUAGAGCUGUUAAAACAGGAGGCCACUGAAUCUUUCUUUACUGUUAUAGAUAGAUUAAAGCUGCUGGAUGCCCAGUUUGGUUAAGGAUAUGGCAGCAGCCUCUAUUUUGUUAAAGCAAUUAGCAUAUGAAAAUGCAAACAAGGACUCUAAAAAUGCUUUAAAAGGUAAGUAUUUGAAACCUGCUACUAUCUCAGAAAUUCCUGGUAUGGUUUAUAAGGUUCCCACUGCUUUUCUGGUCCUUUACCUCCCGGGACAGCUGGCCUAGUUUUUCCCCGUUCACUUGCAUCAGAAAGAGGCACUUUUGAGGUUCCCGUGUCAUUGGUGCUGAUUAUACUGGAGUAUUGCUGGUUCAGUUGUGGUUUCUCUUACCCAUUCAGCUAGAUGUUUCUGAAUCUGUAGCUCAGCUAAUUGUCUUGCCUUACAUCUCCUCUAAAGCUCAUGAUGUCACUUGUGGAAAUGAAGGAUUUGGCUCCUCUGUGGUGGCUGUUGCUGUUCCCCUGGGAGAGGAGCGCCCAAGCCCCUCUCUAACUAUUGACAACAUUUCCUUUCCAGGCUUGCUAGACCCUGGAGCUGGUGCUUUUGUUUUGCCCCACCACCUGGCGGUACUUUACUUCCCAUUGUCAAUGCUCUUUCCUCUCCUAUUUCUCAAGGACGCACUUGAGCACUUGGAACUGAUUUACUUGAUAUUGUCACACCACUCACCAAGGCUGCCUUUUCCUUUCUGCUGUUCUCUGCAGGUAGCCUUGGCUGACUAUGUUGGUUCCAUUUCUUUCAGUAUGCCCCGUGUUCCUCAUUUGUCCCUGUUUACCCUACUUCCCUUCUCUCUUCAAACUUGUUUGGUUUGCACCCCUUUAAAAGGGUGCCCUCACCGUCUUCACUGAUGGAUCCCUCCGCUGUGGUGCUGUAACGUACUGAGUUGACAACACCUGGAAACACCUGUAUUCUCUGCCGCAAACCUCUGCUCAGUGUGGUGUGCUGUCUGCUGUUAUCCUUGCUUUGCAGGUUUUUCAUCCCAAGCCCUUAACUUCCUGACUUUUUAUAUGCACGAAUGUUGUCCUACACUUACCUUCCACUGUUAGGUCUCCCUAACAAAGCGCCCCCAGAUCCAGAUGGGCAGGGACCAGCACCCCUGCUGCUGACCUGGGGAGGAGGGUAUGGUUUCAUGUGAUCCCCAACCGGAGGCCACUCAACCUAAAUCCACAGUUUGGCCUCCCUGUGAAUUGAGCCUGGCUGACCCGGACCCUUUUAUACUAGAUCUCUGCUAAUUGGCCUAUAAAAAUCUGACUGGUUGAUUUGUAGUUGUAGAUUCUAAAUUUGCAAGUUGUAGUUCAGUUUGGUUAAGGAUGUGUUUGCGUGCACUCUGAUUUUGUAGGAUGUUUGUCAGUCUGUCUGUGUAUCUGUUGUCUAUUUGUCCAGUCUGUUUGCAAGCAGUGUUAGGAGUUGCUGAGCUAGUGAUUGUUUACAUGUGUAAAGCAGAGAGCAAAAAUGCCCAUACAGGAGUGCCCAUGGGGCACAGAGCACCUGGGAAAUACCCCGAGGGCGUGGGGUGCUGGAGGUGAACAGGUGUUCCAGCACUGAGAGCAUGGAGAAGUGAGCUGGUUCAGCAUAGCGGUACGGUACGAGUACAUAAGUGGCCCCUUGAGGACUUGGAGAGUUCUCACGGACCCCGAUGGGCUGUAUGCUUAUUUCUGUACUUGAAUCUGUACAGAUCAUCUGUCCAUGUUUGUCCAUUUGCCUGCUGUGUGAAACCUGUUCCUUUUGAGCUCAGUAAGUUUUCUCUUUUUCUGUUUUAGAUCGUUUGAUCAAAAAUUUGUUUGGGUUACAAAUUUACAAAGCAUGUUUUCACCUUGGUUGCCAGCUGGUCCAAAUGAUGCAAUAAGUGUAAUAUGUUGUUUUGGACCUGAGAGUCCCAUUAUUUAGAAAUAAUAUUAGGAUGAAUAAACAAAAUCCCUUGGGGUUGUGGUUGUUGGACAGGACUGUGAUUGAUAAAUAAGAAAUCAACUGGCUGGUAACAUUUUUAACCAAUCCUUGAAACUCCAUAGCCUUGUAGGAGACACUCCAGCUAAAAGUUAUAAAAUAUAUUAUUGUUAUAUAUUCACAUUGGUCAUUACCCAAAAGAAACAACACAAAAAGUUUUUUGUUUUGAAAAUGCCUGUGCAAAAGUUUCAUAUAGCCAUGACAGUUGAUUGAUACCAACUUUGUGAUAUAUUGGAUAUAUUCAUGGUUUUGGAUGCAUGGGUGUCCCAGGUUGUAAAACAGGGAUUGCUUAGGGUAUAGACUUCUUUUUCAUGUUCAAAUCUCUGCUGGUAUCCAAGACUUGUGAAAUUCACAUUCCACUAAAGGUCAGUAAGUCAGAAGUUUCUUGUGUAUUAGAUAAGAGUGAUUGGCUAAAAGAGAUAUUUCAUUUCAAAACGGAAAUGUGGAUUACUGUGAGAGUGUCCUGAUUGUCAUGACAUAAUAAUAUGUACGGCUUUGAUUCCUGAUAUACUGUGUAAAAUAUGUAACUGUGAACACUGUAGGUAUGCAGAUGUUAAAAUAUCCAUGGGUAGUAGGAAAUAGGUUUCAUUUAAUAUUCUUUUUUUUUUUAAAUCGGUACUGAGGAUCAAACUCACGCCUGCUUACAAGGCAGGUGCUUAUGCUGCUGAGCUAAAUCCCCAGCCCUCUCAUUUAAUAUUCUAAGGUGCUUCAAAUUUAAGACAAGACAGUAAUGUUAAACUUACUGCCUCUAAUAUACUGUGUUGUUAUCAAUCUUUUCUUCUGGGUGAUCAACAACUAAGAUUUAGAAACCAAAAAUUAGACGAAUGGGCUAAAGGACAGCCAAUAUUUUGGCCCUAGCCCUUCAAGGUCAGUGGGGACCCAGGACGUAAAAGAACCUCUGCUGUGUCAUUCUCUACUCAGUGAGUUCCUAGUCUUCUGAUCAAGAUUAUGAGACCACAGAGGAAAGUAACCUUUAAUGUAAGGUGUGCCUAAGGAGAGUCACCAGGAGAAAAUUCUCCCAAGCUUUCACGGAAAGCAGCAUGGUCAGGCAGUGGCUGUGACUCAUCCAGAUGGCUGACACCUACAGAAGAUCCUAGAGGUACUGUGCGUGGUUCUAGAAUAGCUCCUGAGGAGCCCUAACUGACCUUGAUGGGAAGCAGGAAACUGGUUGUGUUGAAUGCAGGUCUUAGCUUGUCUUGAACCUCCUGCAGAAACGUAUGGUGUAAUGCAGUGUGAAAUGUUGGCCGUGGGGGAAGCUGGGGUCACUUCCCUGCUCUGACAGUUGCUGGCUACUCUGGCACCUGACUACUGUGGAUGGACUGUGUGAAGUGUAAACUGUGAGUUCUAACACAGCUUCUCCAGCUUCAGCUGGCCGACCGUCCUGCGUAUCAACAAAAGCAUACCACAAGUUUUCAUGUUUUAUUCCUGAGAAAAAUUAAGUUAUUCAGGACCUGUUUGACCCUUUUGGAUCUGCCUUUUAAUAUUUGCUGGGCAAAGCCAGAAUGUGUUUAUCCAAGGCUGGUGACUCACUGAUGUGACACACAGCCCUGCUGAGUACUAUAUUCAGUCUCUAGCAAAAUACAAGGCUUUCAGUGGGGACAGCGCUUCUGGCUCUGUCACCUUUGUUCCCACCAGCCUGUUUUCACCUCAGUAUGUGCUGAUGAGCUCACGGCCCACAGGACCCUCUUCAGCCUUCCAGGAUCAUAUUUCCGGUGACCUUCACUAAUGUCGUAUUCUACCUCCGGAUGGGCAGCUGUGUCCCCUCUGUGGGGCUGUGUGGGCUUCUCCCUGCCGGUGUCCUGGGGCUGGCCCAGGAGGGUGUCACAGCUGUGGGCUUCACUGCCUUCACUCGCUCCUCUCAGACAUUGCCGUCACGGUAAUGCUUUUGGUUCAGAGAUCUGUCUAUUUUUCAUACGUAUCUGAAUUUCUUUUCUUUUUUUUUUUUUGUCCUUAGUUUUUCAAGACAUGUUGGGCGCAGGCGCUCAACAUACCAUACCCCACCCGGGACUAAGGACCACGCCAGCUUCCGCAAUGCGCUACGUCCCUCUCCAAAUUAGCCACCCCAUGCGCACCUCGUGCUCACUCCGUAUUCGCCCCGUGCUGACUCUGUGGCAACCCCUGAUUGGCCACAGCUGGGUAUAUUAGCCAGAGCCUGCGUCCCAUUCCAGCCCGGCUUCCUCGUGGCAGCCUGUGAUUGGUCACGGCCGAAUAUAUAAACCAGAGCCCGCGUAAAUAAAGCGGCAGUUACCUGUUACCCACAAGAGCGUCCUCUGUCUCAUUGAGGGGCUACGCCGGUCAAAGACAGGCUUUUCCUUUUAGUGCAGCCAUCCUUGAACUCACUAUGUAGCUCAGCUGGCUUCUCACAUGUGGUGAUGCUCUUACCUCGGCCCCCUGAGUGCUGAGAUUACAGGUGUGUACUACCGCACCUGGCUUGAAUUUCUAACAUCUGAUACAAGAGUGAAUCUGGCUGUUAUUCCUUCAUAACUCAAAGCAAAAGUUAUGAACUUAAUUUUAAAAUAAAAUGCUUAUUUUGUCUUCUGAAAACUAAUUUUUUAAAACAAGCUUAGCCACUUUUAGUUUCUUACAUUUACAGGCAUUUUCAGGUUUUUCUUUACACUGGUUAUAUAUUCUUUUGUGUUCUGUAAUUCAAAUGCUGAAGUUCUAUUUUUUAUUUUUAUUUAUUUUUUGAGACAGGGUCUUGCUGUGUAGUUCUGGCUAGCUAUGUUGCCAGCCUGGACUUGAACAGUGAUCCUCCUGCCUCAGCCUCUCAAAUGCUUGGAUUGCAGGCAUGCGCCUCCACACCUGGCUCAAAUAUUGAAGUUUCACAAGCUUCUCUUUGCUAUCUGUUUUUUGUGCUAGUUCUCAAUCCUGUUGAUGUUCUCCCACUUGUAUUUAACUUAUGCAUUUUCCCCCUCUGAGCUGCUUUUUUCUGUCUUAAAAUGAACUAUGUAAAUUCUUCAGACAAGUUAAAUGCAGAUUCCUAUGGGAAUUUUUAUUUCCUUCAAAUUUUGGGUAAGUUCUACUCCUGGACAAUUACAAAGUAAAAUCAUUGCUUAAUGUUAUUUGGCUCAAAAAAAAAAAAAAAAAAAGACAUUCAGGGCAAGAAAUAGGAGUGCUAGGUAGUGAUUACAAGUUCUCAAGAUCAUUUUUUGUUCCUUUUUUUUGGGGGGGGGUGCUGGUUCAAAGCCAGUUUCCUAAGUAUUCUCUUAUGUCAUGGAGUGCAAUGGAUACUCACUCAUUAUCCUGGGGGGUGAAUCUUCCUUUCCCGGGCUUGUGGGGUGCCAAUGUCUCCUGUGUACCCUUAUCUGAGCAGCCUCGUUUGCUGCUGUUUGGAUGUCCAGGGUCCCCCUGAGAAGGUGUCAUGAGGGUGGAGCCUCUGGCAGGUGGUACCGCCUUUGAGAGGUGGGAGGUCCUUUAGGGAGCUGGGGGCCCUGGAUUCCUCCUUGCACUCUUGCUUCCCGGCAGUGAGGCAUGUGGUUUUGCUCUGCCAUGCAUUCAAGCAGGGUGAUGUGCUGCUUGCUGUUGGGGCCAAGCAGCAGGGCUGGUCAGCAGUGGACUGCAGCCAGUGAGACUGUGAGCCAGAAUGAGGCUGGGUGGGAGGCAGAGGCCACUUCCUUCCAUAAAUGAAGUUUACUUUCUGUAACAUCGCAAAAGGCUUGGGUUCUGCGAAUCAGGUGACCACAUGUCAGCCUUUGGCCACGAGACAGUGACAGAGGCUGGGGCUGUGCAGACCGGUUGGGCAAGGGCGGGACGAGAGGCAGUAAUGGUGCCCACUAUCAGGAGCAGCUGUGACAGCAGUCCCUGCUGCAGGUUCCUUCUCCAGCUUCUGGGCAUCGGCUUUACCUGUGCCAGCAACAGGGUCUGCGACCCAUGCAGUGCUCAAACUCCCCAGGGUGAGGGCUGUGAAGGGUGGCGAGAAGGUGAAGAAGUGAAAGAUAAAGACACAGAAAGCUGGGGUCAGGGGAGCCCCUCCUCUCCAGAUGGAAGGAAAGGAAAGGGCGUUCAUUUAUACAUGCAGCAAGCUAAUGUAGCCGUGGCACCCCAUUGCUUGGAUUGUCUUGGGGCUUGGUGUUCUCUGGGCGGUUUCAUGUGGCUCACCCCAGGUGCUCUUUGUUCUCCAGAUGGCCUUACUCCUGCCCUGCAUGUGUGAUCCUGUGAUUUAUCUCCAGCCUCAGCACCUCCCAACAAGGGUAGGUGGAUCUUCUUUGGGACUCCACUUGGAGUGAGGUUUUGGAUUCUGUCCCUGGCUGCAUGGCCAGCCUCAAGGUUGGUUCUGUGCCUCUCCCCAAAAUAAAAUGAGUCCCAAUACCAUAUGUGUAUGUGUGUGUGUAUUCCUUUAUGUUUAAUUUAGAAAAACUUGCAUUCCAUUGUUUUGUUCAGAUUUCUUUUUAUUUUUUGGUACUGGGGAUUGAACUCAUGAAUUUGUGCUUGCUGGUAAGGUGCUUAUGCGACUGAGCUAAACCCUGAGUCUCUAGAUUUCUUUUCAUAACAAAAUAAUUAAAGAAUAACUAAUGGUUAAUAUACUGUGUGUCAUGAUCUUAAAAGAACAGCCAGAAUCUAAAAUGUUACUAAGAGUACAACUAAUAGAAAUGAUACCCUACUACAUAGAAGAAACAAAAGGGCAAAACUUUUUUCCAGUGAGACAAACAAACUAGCUGUGUAAAUGAAACAAAAUAGCAUUUAUCUUAAAAUAGUUUUGAAACAACAUAAUUUGGGGAGUCAUUUGAAUUUCUCCCCACUUCCUAUUCACACUGUUUUGUCUAUACAUGUGCAUACAUACUGAAUUUCUCACAUUUUAUCUUGUGUGCCUGCCUUAUGUUACUUAACAUUAUAUUCUCAAGUUGUCUCUAUUUUCUCUUGAAGUCCUCAAGUUUUCUUUUUUUGAUGGCAGAAUAGCUCUCCAUUGUGUAUAAAUUCCACAUUUUCUAAAGAAUUCAAGUCAUCAUAUUGCAUUCCACUGUUCAUGGCAAGACAUGGGUAAGAAAUAGGCUGGGGAGUGGUUUCAGGGAGCAGCAUGUGAGAUUUACAUUAUCCUGAGCUAAGAGCCACUUCCUGGGUCUUCCGUGUGGUGGCUCCCCCUGAAGCAAAAGUGAGAUUUAUCUCUUGAUGUUUCUCUCAUGACUGACUCUGCCCUCCUUUCCCAAGCGAGGAAAAGGUGCCUUUGACUGUGGCUUCAGGCACUUCUCUGGGCACUGUGACUGCUGACACCAGCAGCUUGCAUUUGGUUGAGCACUGGAAUUGCUGGCAGGCUGCUUACAAAACACUCGGGCCUCUUCCAGACCUCCUGUGCCAAAAUUUGUGCAGAGUCUUGGAAUCUUGUGAAAUAAACUUUGCAAGAGACUGAGACACAGCUGGGAAAUCAUCUUGGUUAGUUUUGUCUUGUUGCUGAGACAAAACCACCCAACACUCAAAAUGACGGAAGGCAAGGUUUAUUUAGCUCACUGUUUGUGGAAGUUUCAAUCCAUAAUCAGCUGGCCCCAAGGCAGGGUGGCAUAGCACAGGGACAACACUUCAAAGCAGCAGCCAGAGCAAAAAUGUUCCCCCUGUGCUAAGGGGGAGGAAGCCUCUUUUCCUCUCUUAUAUUGUCCACAGGCCACGCCCCUCAGUAGGGUGUACAGCACUCAAUCUCUGUGCCCUCCUCUUUCACAGGAUAAGGAUAUUUACAGAGUAAGGAUCUUGGCUCCCUGCUGAGUCUUAAACUUCUCAAGUUGACACAGUGUAUAAACCAUAACAGAACUCCUGGCCUGUGACCUGGAGUCACACCUGACCACACCUGUGCAUCAAGGUGAGAUACAGGUGAUUCCAGAGAUUCUGGAGCACAGGAAAGCCUGAGGCUCUGUGGUGCCUGUGUCUUCGGGAUGUGCUCGAGCCUUCCAAGCUAUUGUAUGUAGGCUCCUCCAAAUUCUUAAACUGGAGUGUUCUGGGCACAGGCCUUCACAUUCUCUCCUGUCCUGCUGCCAACCAGGCCACCUCAUCGCCUUUCUAGGACAGCCCUCAGCUCAGCAUCUCCUGCCCCAGCUCCCACAGCCCAUGUUCACAUGCACCCUGCUGGCACCUCCCCUUCCCCAGUGAUGGCAAUUCCAUCUCAUCCUGCUACUGUAAAGUCUGGUGACCCUUUUCCUUUCUCUUACCCCAGAUUUCCUCCAGUAGGAAGUGCUGUAAAGUUCCUCAGCAUUGUGUGUAGAACCCAGUCACCGUGACUGUUCCUUGAACAUGCCCAGGUGAGGGCACUGGCCUCUGCAGCCCAGAGACAGAGUAGUCAUCCCUACCAUCACGCUGGUCCUUCUACCUCAAUUCUGUGGUCAGCCACCAGUGCAGUCCUUUCAAAAGAGAAGUUGUAACCCCAUCUACUCAGAACCACCUAAUGCCAAGUACAAACACAGCAUCCUCAUGCCCUAUAAGAACUGGCGGCUCUUCCUCUCAGUGGCAGCCCAGGGCAUCCUGAUGCCUCGCUGCCCUCAGAACACACAGAUAGAACCCUGACCUAGUGCACUGGUGUUGAAGAUCUGUCUCCCUGCUUGGAAAAAGCCUCCAGACAUCCUCAUGACGAAUCCCUUCCAGCCUCUCAAAGGCUGCCUCCCACUGAGGUGCACGCUCACUGCCAUAGUAAAAUGGGCUUGUCAUCUGCCCUCAGAUGCCCACCUCUGGAUUCACCUUUGCUAGAGCACUAACCAUCUCCUUCCUAAAUGCUGACUGUGAAGACAGUAUCGUCUGCUUUUUUCUGCGGGGCAUUCCCAAAGUUGGGGUUUUACCUGUAUUUCACUUCCCGGUGUACCCUAGAUGCAACCACAAGUGUGUCAAAGUGAGUGUGCAAAUGUGGGCCUACUGUGGGGAUAGUGUGGGUUUAGUUCUAGAUCAUUGCCAUGAAGAAUAUCACAAUAAACUGGGUCACAUUUUGGGGGGUUUAUUAGUAUGUUUCAAACAUGUAAUUCACUAUUACUGUAGUCUGUGAAGUGUGCAAUAGCUUUAUAUCUAAGAAAAUACACUUUUAAUAAAUGGCACUUUAUUGCUGACAGUCGCCUGCGCCAGUAGGGAGCUGUGAUACCACUGCUCGAGGGCAGGGUUCCUUGGUGUUGUCACCCAACCUUCCUUGUGGCAGGUCCUGAGGAGGGUGGCAUUUUAAAAAAGAUGGUGAGGAAGUUUGCUGCCCCAACCAACUCUUCCUUUCAUAAAACAUUUCCCUGCAGGGGCUGGGGAUUUAGCUCAGCGGCAUAAGCACCUGCCUUGCAAGCAGGCGGUCAUGAGUUCGAUCCCUGGUACCGGUAAAAAUGAAAAAAAUGAAAAUGAAAAAGACAAAAAAAAAAAAAAAAAAACAUUUCCCUGCAGUCUCUGGUUGAUCACAUUUUGUCCACAGGAGAACGCUCAGAAUUGGAGUAAGUCCUCUCAAACUCCAAAGUUUUUUUCAAAAAAGCUUCACUCCAUUUUUCUUUAAAUAGUACAUCUUUGCCACAAGGAAAUUCUAUCUCCAAAAGCCACUUUCUGUGUUUAUCCAUUAGAAGCAAUUCCUCGUGUGCUGAAGUUUUAUCCUGACCUGGCAGCCGUUCAAGGGUGUCUUCAACCCUGUGUGUAACCCCAGUCCUCUUCCACGUCUGCAGUCACUUCCCCCACUGAUGUCUCCAGUACCUCAGCGUCAUCCAGCAGUGUUAAAUCGGCAUCCAAAGUCCUUCUGAUCCACUGACCUCCCACAAACCUGUGUUCCUAAUGCCAUCUGGAGUAGUGAGCUCUCUCCAGCAGGCGGUCAGUGCACGUCAUCUAGCUCAGUGAGAGGAACCAGCUGUGGCAGCUGUAGCUGGAGGACACAUGUUCCCUAAACAACAAGACCAGAGUCACAGCGACUCCACCACUGCAGAAUGUGGAGUCAGCAGGUGAGAACAACCCUCACUGUGCAUCUCCGUCAGACCCCUCACGUGGCCAGCGCUGUCCUGAGUGGUGGUGUUGGGAAGACUCCUCCCUGAGCAGUGGUCUCCACUGACCAGUGUCCAGUGACCCCUGUGCUGAGGUUCUGCUCUGUUUACCAAGCACAGGAAAGCAGCUCCAGGGUGGCCACUAAGGGCCCAGGACCCACAGCUCAGUGCUGAGCACAGGCUUCAGGGUACAGUCACAGCUGCAGGAGCCAAGGACUGAGCCUGUCUGCUCUAAAGCUGCAGGGGGCCAUCCUGCUUGGGACUCAGACGCUUUCCUUCCCCAAUGAAUGUAUGCUAUUAACCUUCGUUCUUUGAUUUUAGAGAACACGCACUCAUAUCAGACGUCUAGCAGGCAGGGAGUUCUGCUGUAUCAUCUGGGGUCUUCCACUGCGGUCAUAGCCCCUGUUCUGUGUCAUGUGCUUACUCUGUGACUUGCUUUCCCGUUUGAGCCUGACAAUCCGUACUAACUGAUUAUUCACACAAUCUUAUUGGCUGACCACAGUUUUCUCCCACCUCCUGCCCACCUUGUCAUUUCCCAUUUUUCUCCACCUUGGAGCACCUCACUUCGUGGUUUCACUCUAUAAAAAUCUCUUAAAAAGGCAGAGUCCUCCUCACCCUGUUGGGACCCCUACUAUCUCUCAGAAUCUUUCUUUCCCCAAUAAAUGUAUUCUUCUGUUUAAAAAAAUACAUGUGUAUGGUGACUGAACCCAGGUCACACAUGUGAGGGGAACACCGCACCCCUGAGCUACACCCACAGCCCCGCCUGUUCCCUGAAACUGAAGCCAGGCCCUGACUGCCCAGGGUUGGGAGCUCUGGGGGCAUCUUCUCUGGGUACAAGCUGUUUCCUCCACCUUUAUGUGGCAGCUUCCAGUCUCACUAAUGUGGCUUCUCCAUCAGCACUGUGCUGCUCACCUUCCAGCUUCUCGUCAUGGAGACGGCUUAUUCUGUUCACCCCAUAAACAGCCCUGCCCGCUCCAGACUCCCGCAGACCCGACCUCUCCAGCCCUGAACACUGAAGUGAGGGUUUGCUGUGGGGGACGUGGUGGCUGCCCUGUCCUCCUGUCCACACCAUGAACGCUCGCUCCAUCGGCAGCGGGGCUGUUUCCUCUCUUACCGCUGUGUGUUUACUCGAGGAGCCGCUUUCAUCUCUGGAAGGGCUUUUCCUGAGCGCUGAGAGUUUGGCUGAGUGGUGAAAGAGGCCUGGCUCCUGCGCGUCCCGGCUUUCGGCCUGUUUUCCCCACUAAGCUUCACGACUCCUAGCUUUGGACGUGAAGUGACAGCUGUGCCACUCUUCCACUCUUGAGUGUUUGGAGGCCACUGUGGGGUCACUAAUGGGUCUAACCUCAGGUUUUGUGUGUUUGCUCCUUGCAGUGGUCAGAGCUGAAGACAGGAAGAGCUGGGAAAAGGCCAGUCAGUGGAGCACUCAGGACACGUGAUGUUUCUAAUACAGAUGGAGCCUGGGACCCCCGUCCCCCACAACAAUUAUAAUAGUAAUAGCGGGGAUCACUGACCACAGGUCAGAUGCCAGGUAUAUCCAGGCAUCCGAUCAGCCUCUGGCAGUGUCAGGUAUUCUGUCUCAGCCAUGAGAACAGUAAGAAUUUGGUACCAGACAAAUGGGGUUCUUGCUUUGAGUGCACCAGGGCAUGUGAUUCGGGAGCCUUUGAGGCUGGCUUGUGACAAGUUAGAAAAGAUUCAGAAAUUUUGGACAAACACAGCAGGAACAUCUUCAACUGAACUCCACAUGAGAUUCUGGUCAGAGCUCAAGAGCCCAGAAGGCUGCAAGCAAUCCCGCUUGGAAGACCAGGCUCAAGAAGUUCCUGCUGGGAAGGACCCCCGAGCUGCUGGACCCCAGACAAUGUGUGUUACGGCUUGGCAGGAAGUUUGCCUGCAUUUUGCUUGUGUCCAAAGACUGCCUGAGACUGAGGUUAAGGCUGGUGAACUAAUUAAUCCCUUCUUUCUUUCUUUCUUUCUUUCUUUCUUUCUUUCUUUCUUUCUUUUCCUUUCUUUUUUUCUUUUAAUCCCUUCUUUCUUUCUUUCUUUCUUUUCCUUUCUUUUUUUCUUUUUGUUGUUCUUGAGACUCACUAUGCAUUUCAGGCUGGCCUUGAGCUCACAUUGUAACCCAGGCUACAAGGUGAGUCUCAAACUCACAGUGAUCCUCCUGCCUCAGCCUCCCAAGUGCUGGGACUACAGGCAGGGGCCACCACCACCCACUAAUCUUGUAAAAGGAAUUUCAAGGUAGUGGAAUGUUGAGGCAGUGGUAUGGCUAUUUGUUGGGGGUUGUACUGAGAUUUAUGUUGAGAAUCAACAUUAGAGAGCCAAGCGAAUGAUCACAUGAGUGGGGAUAAAGCAAGGCCAGCUGGAAAACACUGAGUCCAAAACAAGCCAAGUAAGCAAGCUGUUCCAGCUCCAGGAAGGCAAGGGGGCCAGGCCAGCCAGCAAACAAAUUGAAAUCGACCAAAGCCUUGUGAGUGCAUAAACAAAGGUCCUGUGGUGUUGAGCAGUUCCUUCCCUCCCGUGAGGAGAGUGAGGGCUCCAGCUGACCGCAUUUUCGUCUCUUCAUUUUCUCAUCCUCUGGAGGUCCACCCUUCACUCCAGGACCCUCAAGAGCCACGUGAGUUGUGGCAGGACGCACAAGUAAAACUGUGGGCUGCAAAUGCAACAGUCAUGAAAUUGGUCACUGUACAGGUUAGCAAGAAGAAGCCAAGUACCCCACAAGAGGACCACAGAGAUGGCCUGAGGGCAUCAGGAGACCCACAGGACUCUAGCCCGUGCAGCCUUAGCUGCAAAGGUGAAAGACUUUGCUUUAAGAAGAGAAACCCACAGCACCAUGUUCCUCGGUGGCGGCGACCUAGAGAAGUUGUUCCUGGGGACAGGAGCAGAGGGCUCAGCACUGGACGCCUACAGCCCAGAGCGCUGGAGCCGGCUGCUGCUCCACCUGGCUGCCAACACGGUAAAAGGGGCCGCUCUGCGGACACCAAGUUCAGACCCGGAUGGAGGUGCCGGCCCUGCCCCGGGGAGUGGAAAGAACAAGGACCGGCAGCGGGGUCCCGUGUCCCCGUGCUGAGGUCGCAGACACGACACAGGCAGAAGCCGGGAAGAGAGAGAAGCCGGGGCUGCGGAGGUCACCGCGGGAGAAGGAGGACCUGAGCCCACGCGCGGCCCCGCCACACAGCGGCUGCCCACGCGUGAGAGCAGGAGCGGUGGGGUCAGCGCCCUGAGCGCGGGCUCCGAAGGGCUCGGAGAAGCCUGCGCCCCCGGGGCCCGGUCUGCGCCCCCAGGGCGUCCCGGGGAGCAAGGUCAGCACCGGGGAGCAGGGCAGGACCCAGGAGCCGGGACCCAGGGCCGCGGGUGGGAGCAGAACCGCGGGCCCGGCCAGGGCAGCUCCCCAGAAGAGCCGCGCGCCGGGAUGGAGAGCGCGGGGAGCGGAGCCUGGAGAGCUUCCCCGGGUCCUGUGGUGAGGACUGAACAGCCCCAAUCCGCCGUGAAUGUGAUUGGCUCUUCUGGGAACCUCCACCCAAUGGGAUGGAGCUUUUCAUUUGCGUCAUCAGUGUCCAAGGAGAAAGCCUCCUUGCAGGUUGAUAGGGAGAAGUGAAACUCCAAGGAGGUGGGGACUGACCCGGGGAGGUUUUCUAUCCCAGAGGCCGCCCUGGGCAAGUCCAGGAGAGCCCUGUGGGGACCCGGAACUGUGCUCUGAUCACUCACCUGCUACCCCGCGAGCUUGGUCUCUGUAGUUUCUCUUAUUCUUGGGGGCCUAUGUCGGCUGCUGUUAUAUGUCUUGGUCUCUUUCUUUGUGUGUGUGUGUGUGUGUGUGUGUGUGUGUGUGUGUGUGUGUGUGUGUGUGUGUUAGAGUCUCAGUGUGUAGCUCACCCUGACCUUGAACUCACAGUGUAGCCCAGGUUGGCCUUGAAGUUAUGGCGAUCCUCCUGCUUCAGCCUCUUGAGUCCUCACAUCACAGGCCUGUGCCACCACGCAUGGUUUAGACAUUUUGUGUUGAAGAUGUUGAUCUGCUGUGAGGAAUUACUGAAGAUCACAAAAGCAAACAUGUUUAUAUGAGUUGCAGCUCUAAAUCUUAUAAAUUAAAAUGAAUAAAAAUAUUUAUUAUUGGUAACUUUAGUAUUAUUGAUACAUUGGUAUUAUUGGUAUAUUGGUAACCAAUAUAUUAUUGGUAACUCACUGUAAAUAACAAAAAUACAAUUUUGUGAGAAACAUUUUCCAAAAAUAUACAGUAUAGUGAAAAUGAAUCUUUUCACACUUUUACAUUUUUACAAAUUCUUUUCUUGUCUGUCUCAUUAGAAGAUUGUGUGCUGGGUUUUCUUAUCUAGUUCUGCGUUUAGCCAGUUAUUUUGAUCAAAGUACAUGAAAACAAAUUUAGCCUCACACACAUGUAUGAGAAAUAUAUUUAAUACUCGGUCAGAUACUUGUGCAUCUUCAUCUUUAUCACAAACCAGCAUCAAUCCAUAGUCCGUGUGCUGUUGCACGAGCACCCCCAGGUCUGCCUGGCUCACUGAAGGAUGCUGGGUAACACAAGACUUAGAAAAAUUAGAUCAACCGAGUCACAUAGAUCUUCCAAUGCUGAUGCAUUUCAUCACAAAUUAUCAAAAAAUCGCAAAUCUUCACAGUACCACACAGUUUAAUAGAAAAGGUUGUAAAUAAGCACAAACUGACUAACUUACAGUGUUGGACACAAGUUCUCCAAAGUUCUAAUAUUCUUUUAAAAUCCCUCAUUCUGUCGUUGACAAAAAUACUCUCAGCACCCAUCCUGAAGAGACAGGCGCAGGUCACGUUAGAGAAGGUGCUGGUUAACUCCCAAGUGUAAACCAUCAGGGCUUCUCUGCCGCUCACUUUCCAGAGAAAUAGUGUUGUAGUCCAAAGGGUUAGGCCGGCGCCCAGCAUGGUGGUGAUGGACACAAACACCCCACCGCGGGGCACAGCAGAAGGCUUCACGUGCGUUUCCCUUUCAGUCUCAGCAAUAUGUGAAAACUGUGACCUCUGGACUGGAGAUUCGACGAAAUGAGUAAUUUUAUGGACUUCAACAAGGAUAUUUUUAACUGCUAGUUUAUUUGCUUGUUUUCUGCAAUGAAGAUUAAAGUAACUAUGGUAGCAGUUUGGAGCUCAUGGUUUUUUCUUUUCUAAUUGAAAAAAAUCUAGAAGAAAACGUAAAAAUUCAACGAUAACAAAUGCAAAACAACAACAACAAAAACACCUACAUAGAUUUUCAAGAGAAGAUGAUAGUGGUUGUGAUCCUGCACACUGUUCUCUUCAGAAUACUUGCGCAGGUUACCAGAUACAGGAAUGAAACGAAACAGGAAAAUGGAACAAAACACUGGAUUUCAAAAGUGAGACAGAAGAAAAUUCCCCACAAUGCACACUGCUGUCCUCCAAAUAGAUGCCCAGACCACCAGCCCCCAGCCUGCAGAGCCGAACAAACAACGCCAGCAUCCAGCUGUCCCCUCCCUCAGGUGCUAUCAUGUCUCCUGAGUCCUCUGCAUCACCAGGUGCUCACGGGUGGGCGUGGGGAUGCUCUCCUGGUUUCCCAGCCCACUCUGGCUGCUCACGGGAAGGCGUGGUUCUGCUCCUUGCUGAGUCUCUUCCCGAUCCCCAUGGCAGAGGCUGGUUCACAGGAAGUGUGGUUCUGCUUCUUCUGGGGCCCAUGGUCUUAUCCUCCAACCCAAGUUCUUAAUGUUUCAUUCAAGAUUAAAACAGAAGAAUUUUCUGUUUAAGUCACUUUCAAAACAGCACCUGUGCUGCCACAACUUCAGGCACCAAGCAGAGAGAUAGUAUAUUUUCUGCGUCCAAGAUCUUUUGUCUUAGCCUUAGGGGGAAAAAUAGAUGUGGAAAUGGUACCAUUGUCGUGCUUCCUGGUAUAAGCCUUCCCCUCUCUGGAACCAAAACUUCCAGGCCAGUUUCUACAUGAAGUCAUGGGACAGGAAGCAAAAAUCUUUCUAGUGGAUCACUAGGGGUGAUGGCGAGUGACUUCAUUCCAACUUCCACCCCUUGAUUCCUGGACCCAUGAAUCCUGGCUGUGGGAGACACAGUGCCACAUAAUUGACAUUGGUUUAAAGCAUAUACACCCUGUUGAAGUACCUAACCCCAGCCGUGCAAACUGUUGCCACCUAGCUGGCGUUGUAACUGUCUUCAAAAGGCCAUUCCACCUUUCUAUCAAUCCAGCUGCUUCUGCAUGGAGAGGGACAUGGCAGGACCAGGGAAUUCCAUGAGCAUGAGCCCACUGUCUCACUUCUUUAGCUGUAAAAUGUGUUCCUUGGUCAGAGGCAAUGCUGUGUGGAAUUCCAUGACAGUGGAUAAGGCAUUCUGUGAGUCCACUGAUGGUAGUUUUCAUGGAAGCUUUAUGUGCAGUGAAGGUAAAUCCAUAUACAGAACAUAUGUCUAUGUCAGUAAGGAAAAAAAGCACUGUCCCUUCCAUGAUGGAAGUGGUCCAAUAUAAUCAAACUGCCACCUAAUUACAGGUUGAUCACCUCGGGAGAUGCUGCCAUUUCGGGGACUCAGUGUUGGCCUCUGCUGCUGGCAUACUGGGCAUUCAGCAGUGGCGGUAGCCAGAUCAGCCUUGGCGAGUGGGAGUCCAUGUUGCUGAGCCCAGGCAUACCCUCCAUCCCUGCCACCAUGGCCACUCUGUUCAUGGGCCCAUUGGGCAAUGACUGGGUGGCUGAAGAAGGAGAUUGGCCACUAUCCAGAGAACGAGUCAUCUUAUCCACUUGAUUAUUAAAGUUGUUUUCUGCUGAUGUUACCUUUUGGUGAGCAUUUACAUGGAAACAAAUAGUUUUACAUUCUUUGCCCAUAUAGAGAGGUCUAUCCACAUACCUCUUUCCCAAAUAUCUUUGUCACCAAUUUUCCAAUUAUGUUGCUCCCAAGUUCUUGACCAUCCAGCUAGACCAUUGGCUACAGCCCAUGAAUUAGUAUACAGUCUCGCAUCUGCCAUUUCUUCUUCCAGGCAAAAUGUACUGCCAAAUGCACUGCUCGAAGUUCUGCCCGCUGUGACAAUUUCUCUUCACCACUGUCUUUUAAGGAUGUCCCAGAAAGGAUCUGUAAUACUGCAGCUGUCCACUUGUGGGUGAUGCCUGCAUAAUGUGCAGAGCCAUCCCUAAACCAGGCCCCAGCUUCUCGUCCUCUGACAGCUGAUUGCACACCCCACAAGGCUGUAGGCGCAUGCUGGGAAGCUGAAGGCAACAUAGCGGGAAUAGGAGCCGUAGGUAUCUGGGCAACUUCCUCGUGUAACUUACUUGUACCUUCUGGUCUUUCUGUGGCUCGAUCAUGAAUACCACUUCCGUUUAAUGAUAGACUGUUACUGUGCAUGUCCAACUUCGUGACUUGAAGGGGCAUUUAAUACCCAGGCCGUGACAGGCAGCUCAGGUCGCAUGGUGACCUGGUAUCCUAUCGUCAAGCAUUCAGUUUCCACUAGGGGCCAGUAGCAGGCCAACAGCUGUUUCUCAAAAGGAGAGUAGUUAUCUGCAGAUGAUGGCAGAGCCUUACCCCAAAUCCUAAAGGCCUCCACUGUAAUUCCCCAGGGGAGCCUGCCAGAGACUCUAAACAGGGUGCAAAAAGCUGUUGAGAAAGUGGAGCAUAUUUACCUUCUAAUAGCCACAUACACACAUACACACAUAUUUCCAAUAUACACAGCUGCCCAACUUGGGCCACACUUCCUAAGAAAUGUCACUCCUGAUAGAUUCUGUGCACUGCACAAUAAUAAUGGCAAAAUUGUAGCCUCCAAGUCUCACAGAGGGAAGCAGCUGUCCUGUGUGGUGGCCAAGGCCAGGGCACCAGUGAUGGUGGUUGCAUUCUCACUGUGUGCUUCCCUUUCUUUCUGCUCAGGCUGUGAGCAACAGCAAGCUAGAGCCUGGACAAGAAAAGGGAAAAAGGAGGAAGAGAGGCGCAAAAGUCACCCAGACACUGAGCGAUGCACAGAGCAGUCAGGACACAGGGGAAGCUAUGCUGUCACUCUGCCUUCAGCAGAAGGUCAGAGCUCAGCAGGAACAGCCAGGACGGGAGGGCACCAGGUGACGGAGUCACUGCUCCUUCUCAGCAUCACCUGUCCUUCUCCUCCCCGCUCUCGGGAGAUGCUUCUCCGCCUCCUCUGUGGAGGGCAGAGGCAGCCAGACGAGUUCCUCCCAGUGGACUGGGCUCCUCAGAGAGGAAGCUCUUGCCCAGCUGUCUCUGAGCUCCAGGGCACAGCGAGUAUUGCUGUGGCUGACAGAGUCUGUGGGCUGCAGGCAGCCAGGAGUCAUCAUCUGACAGCCAGGCAGGCGCUGGAGGGCACCAGGCCCGUGAGGGUCUCUGCCUCCUCAGCCUCAGACUCAGCACUGGACCCCUACACUGUGGAAUUCACCCCGUUCUCACCGCAGGUCCUCGGGAGACCUCCAGGGAAUAUCCUCCUCUGCUCCAUGGAGGCCUCAGCUGUGGUCUGGGCAGCAGCAGCAUCAAUGGUGAGGCCGCCAUUGAUCCUUGUGGGUGUCUGGCCUGCCUUCGUGCACAGAGGACCUGAAAGAAAGUUUCCUUCCUCUCUACUCUGGAUCCUAAGAAGGUGCAGGUGUGUGUGUUGGGCUGCGCUCUAGGUCGUGGCUAUUCAGGAGGAGAGGCCAUGGCCAACAUGGGAGACACAGCCACCAGGCUUCAUUCCAGAAAACCAAAAGUAUGACUUUGAAAAGUGCCUCAAUUACUUUUGCCCUGGCUAACACCCAACACCUGACCCUUGCUAGUGAAGGGAGGGGAGGCGGGUUUUGGCUCCCAUUUCAGUGUGUGGCUCCAAGGAAGAAGCAGCACCACAUUCAGACAGAAUAACUGGGCUACCAUGUUACAAAAUCCAUGUUGCAAGAGAACCGGAGCCGACUCCAAGGCAGCAGUGCUGUUCUGUGGGAAGUGUUUUCAGGAGGAUAUGCAUGGGGUGAGUUCUGUGCACCUUUUCUGCCAACCAAUGGGCAGCUCCAGAGAUCUGUUAGAAUGAUUACAAACAAGAUGACUGAAUCGGUCAGCUGUGUCCGUGUGUGCACACAUGGGUGGUCACACUGACUGCAUCGCUUUCUGCUCUCUCAGGUCAUAGAUGUGAAUUCUAAAGUGAGUCUGCACUGAAUCAUCCACAUAGACAUUUGGGCAGCUGAAAAGCAACACCUGAAUGGAACAACAUUUUGCAGCAUCUGAUUAAAAUUAUGAAUGAGAAAAGCCACGCCCUUCCCUCACAUCUGUUCACACAUCUGUGAAGAGGGCACAGCACAACUGGCUUCUCUGCUACUCGGGUGGGAUAGUUUUCAAAAAGUAGAUUCUUGGCCAGAGUUCUUUAGUCAAGAGAGCUGCACCCAAGAUUUCUGUUAGGAAAACAGUUCAGCCUGGCUGCAUAUUGAAGUGACACAGGAUGGGUCAUCAAGCCUGCUUAUUCCUGUGACAUAAUCACCCUGCUCAGUGAACGCAAGGGCAGAGGUCAACUGUGUCCAGGUUGGCAGAUAAAGUGGCUGCAUUCCAAGCCACACUGGAAUUGUGGGGCAGAGCGUGAACACUGGGAGUCUGAUGGGUCCCAAUCAUUAGCAGAGAUUCUGAAAGACACUGAGCCAGGGCCUUAUUUCUCCAGUUGGUUUCUGCUCACCUACCUCAGCUUUCAAAACAAUUUGAGUAUUAUUUGCUGACCUCAGAAAUGCCAACCUCAAGAGGAGCAGAUCUUCCAUUAUUUGUGAAUGCUUCAGGUGUACCGACUUCCUCUGAGAUAGAAGAGGAUCAGCUGCUGGAGAUUACAAUGAUGAUGGCCUUAAAGUGUGUCUGAGAUAAUGUCACAUCUCCCUGGAUUCUGCAUAAAAGUCAAGGGUGAAUAUCCUGAGACUGCCACAAAAACACUGAAGAGGCUGUGUGCAUUUCCACCGUCCUUUUUGUUUGUUUGUUUGUUUGUUUUGUUCUGGGGAUGGAACUCGGGACUGCACGCUUGGCAGGCAGGCACUUCUGCUGCUGAGCUAAAUCCCUGUCCCCUGUCCUAUCUUUGUUGAACAGUGUUUCCAAAAGUGACCAGUAGCCAAAGUGAGACUAUGGAGCAGACGGAACACAGGCAACACACGUACGGGUCACUGUCCACCCCUCUAGGCUCAGGGCUCUCACUGGUUCUGCAUUGUGGGGAGUUGCAUAACCAUUUCAUUACAUACGACAGCACAAUAAUACUAGAAAUAAAGUACUCAAAAUGUGCAGUGCAUUGGAAUCAUUUGGAAAAUACCCAUACAUGGAAAACUGUCUUAGAAACCAAUCCCUGCGGGCUGGGGAUUUAGCUCAGCGAGAUAAGCGCCUGUCAUGCAAGCAGGCAGUCAUGAGUUCGAUCCCUGGUACCGAUAAAAAUGAGAAAGACAAAAAACAAAACGAAAAAAAAAAAAACCAAUCUCUGGCACCAAAACACUUGGCAACAGCAGAACACACAGUCAUGCAACAAAUGAUGUUUCAGUCCACGAUGAACCACAGAGUGGGUGAGAGAUUAUGAUGGACCCGGAAACACACACAGCCUGCAGUGUGCUGUAAACUCAGUGUCAUUACAACAGUACCAGAGUUUAAAAAUGAAAAGUUUAUGAAUUUAAAAGCUACAGUAAGGUAAAGCUCAUGCAAACAGGAAGUUGUUUCCAUAACCCGAGUGUAGCCUCAGUGGAGAGUGUGUGUAACGUCUGCAGUAAUGGACAGCAGUGCUGUGGGCCUCGGUGUUCACUGACCACCACUCACUGAGUGACCCAGAGCAGCUUCCUGUCCUGCGAGCUCCACUCACGGUCAGGGCCCCAUGCAGGCACCAUUCUGAAUCUUAGUCCACAGUUACUGCACACUCCCUGUGUCUAGAUGGUUCCCACACGGAAAUACCCUGGUGGUGCAGGUGACCCCGUGUGAACCCUGUAUUUCCUGUGAGUUACAGGAGCAGGCAGAGAUGAAGCCCUCUCCCAGGACUCUCAGCCUUUGUUUACCCUUGUGGCUUAGUGCAAACCACACUGGAGAAGUCAGGAGCCCUGAGUCUGCAUCCACAUCAGCCCCUUACUGACCUCAGAUGGCACUCGGAGAAGAGCGGAGCAGAGAAGGAAGCCACCCAGGGGCAAGUGUCUUUCUGGAUAGAAGGAACAGUGUGCUAACCACGGACAGGAGCCACCUCUCCCCUGGACACCCAUCCCCAGGCUGCUGUGCUGGUCCGGCUCCGACCUGGGCUACAGGGCUGCAGAGGCAGCAUCAUGGAGGGAAAGGUGCACAGAACAGAAACCAAAGGAAGCCAGGCCUGGGGUCCUGGUGAGCGGGGCACAGGCUGUGUGAGCUGAGCCUAUUAAUUAACCUUUGUGACUCUCCACUUCCUCCCCAUAAAUGAUGGGUGAGAAAAUAUAUCCUGAAUGCAUUACUGUUACGAGGGUGUGAGAUUUUUUUAUGUGUGAAAGACUCUGCCCCGCCCAGCUCCAAGUUAAUUUCAUUUCCCUUUCUCUUUCACAGGUGUAGGAAUCAUUAGUUCAACACAAUAUGAUUGCCCUGAAACUUCCAAAUUUUCUUUCUUAAAUUCUACUUCUCUGAUUUCCUUCUAGUUUAAG